UUAAAUUGAAGAGUUUGAUCAUGGCUCAGAUUGAACGCUGGCGGCAGGCCUAACACAUGCAAGUCGAACGGUAACAGGAAGCAGCUUGCUGCUUCGCUGACGAGUGGCGGACGGGUGAGUAAUGUCUGGGAAACUGCCUGAUGGAGGGGGAUAACUACUGGAAACGGUAGCUAAUACCGCAUAACGUCGCAAGACCAAAGAGGGGGACCUUCGGGCCUCUUGCCAUCGGAUGUGCCCAGAUGGGAUUAGCUAGUAGGUGGGGUAACGGCUCACCUAGGCGACGAUCCCUAGCUGGUCUGAGAGGAUGACCAGCCACA
rnacentral:rRNA from 1 species